rfam:Waddlia chondrophila WST 86-1044, complete genome.
GCUCGGAUGGUGGAAUAGGUAGACACUAGGGACUUAAAAUCCCUUGCUCUUUUGAGCGUGUGGGUUCGAGUCCCACUCCGAGCA